rnacentral:rRNA from 1 species
GUAGGGAAUUUUCGGCAAUGGGGGAAACCCUGACCGAGCAACGCCGCGUGAAGGAAGAAGUAAUUCGUUAUGUAAACUUCUGUCAUAGAGGAAGAACGGUGGAUAUAGGGAAUGAUAUCCAAGUGACGGUACUCUAUAAGAAAGCCACGGCUAACUACGUGCCAGCAGCCGCGGUAAUACGUAGGUGGCGAGCGUUAUCCGGAAUUAUUGGGCGUAAAGAGGGAGCAGGCGGCACUAAGGGUCUGUGGUGAAAGAUCGAAGCUUAACUUCGGUAAGCCAUGGAAACCGUAGAGCUAGAGUGUGUGAGAGGAUCGUGGAAUUCCAUGUGUAGCGGUGAAAUGCGUAGAUAUAUGGAGGAACACCAGUGGCGAAGGCGACGAUCUGGCGCAUAACUGACGCUCAGUCCCGAAAGCGUGGGGAGCAAAUAGGAUUAGAAACCCCAGUAGUCC